AUUGAACGCUGGCGGCAUGCCUAACACAUGCAAGUCGAACGGCAGCACGGCAGUAGCAAUACUGUGGGUGGCGAGUGGCGGACGGGUGAGGAAUACGUCGGAAUCUGCCCAGUCGUGGGGGAUAACUAGCCGAAAGGUUAGCUAAUACCGCAUACGACCGAGAGGUGAAAGCGGGGGACCGCAAGGCCUCGCGCGAUUGGAUGAGCCGACGUCGGAUUAGCUAGUUGGUGGGGUAAAGGGCCCACCAAGGCGACGAUCCGUAGCUGGUCUGAGAGGAUGAUCAGCCACACUGGAACUGAGACACGGUCCAGACUCCUACGGGAGGCAGCAGUGGGGAAUAUUGGACAAUGGGCGCAAGCCUGAUCCAGCAAUGCCGCGUGUGUGAAGAAGGCCUCGGUU
rnacentral:rRNA from 1 species